rnacentral:lncRNA from 1 species
CUAGGUUUCAAUUUCUAACAGUUAAUACCGAUAAAUAACAUGAACAAAAGCUCUUUGGGAAGCUUCAUUAAUUUAAGCAUGUUAAAAAUGUGGAGAACCACUGCCCUAUCCUAACUUUUUCAUUUUCCUCUCCAACAUUCCCUCACCUUUCCAGCACAAACACACUCUAGCCAUAAAGAAGUGUCUCUAUUUUCCUAAUACGCUGAAUAUUUUCAAGUUUCUGUGUCUUUUCCAACAGUGAAUCAGUAAUCCUCUUCCUGUCUUUGCCUAGUGAAAUCCUGGUCAUCAUCCAAUGUGAAGCCCACACUUUACCUCCACUCCUGAGCCCAGAAAGCCUGAACAGCAUAGUGGUUAAGAGCACAAGGACCUGAACUGCCACCUACUCCCAGCCAUGUGACCUUGCACAAAGUACGUAAUCUCUUGCGGCUUGAGCUCCGUAUUGUGGUGGGGAACUUCAUAGAAAAGAUCAAACAGAGGCCCUAGAAUGGUGAAAACUGUCUCUGAACUGCUAGUGUUACACCCAGCCCACGGAAACAAGACAGGAAACAACAAACAGCAAAUCCCAGAGUGACCAAAAGAUAGAAGACUCAGGCUAGAGAACUUGCCAGAAGAGUGAGCUCCACUUCAAUAGCUACAUUCCUGCAAAUUCUUGCUCCAUGUUAUUUCCUCCUUGCCUAAUAGAAAGUUUAUGUCCUGCAUUAUUACUUUGUGGAAAGAGACAGAGUGAAAGUAAAGAAGUCCAUAAAUUAGAACAAAACUGUUUUACUGUAAAUACUUCUGCUUACUUAUAUUGUCUUGUUUUAAUGCGUCUAAUCAGUGGGUUUUCCAAAGUAAUUCCUGGGGUCUCCCCUGUGUUUGGUCAUGCUAUCUACAAUUAAAAGGUGUGUUUUGUGAGGCUAGCAGAAAA